UUUUACAACGCGAACCUUAACGGACCGGUGUGAAUAUUUUCUGUUCGGGAACGCGCUUAAUGCAAACAAUCGUUUUGUCUUUCGGAAAAUAUCUAAAUAAUUUUGUGCAAAUUAAAUGAAAAUUGUUUUGUAUUUCUACACUAGAAACAACUCUUCUUAAAACAAAGUGCGUGUGUGUGUGCAAUUGCAAGAAGAAAACUUGGAGUGUGUAACUAUAACUUCUUGAAGAAAAAAAAAAUCGUUAGAUUGUGAAAUCUGUGUAGGAAAACUAACACAGCUAAUGGUUUGGUACAUUUGAUCAAGGCAAAGCUCUUAUUAAGGAGAUUUAAAUUAUAACAAGAAAUCUUAAAGAAGUGUUAAUUUUUGCUUUUGUAAAAAUAAAUAAACGAGGAAAUACUAAGGAAAAUAAAAAUAUCAUACAAAAAAAUCUUUUUCAAAAAGUGAUUUCUCCAAAAAAUUAAAAAGCCUUCUAAAAAAAAAAUUCCACAGAAAGUGUGCUCAUAUCUGUGCCUUUUGAAGCAUAAAAUUUUAAAGCAAAAAAAAAAAGAAUCAAAUUCUAGGUGUUUACUUUUCACCCACAACGCGCCUUUCGUCGUCUGCCUGACUUGCCUUUUGCCAGCCGCCUUGUGUCAACAUUGAAGAAGAAUGAUAUCAUAACCAAUUUUCAUAGUGAAAUCAAAUAUAACAGAAAAAGUGCAAUUUAAAUAAAUGGAAAAGUUCAAUAAAAGCAUUUG